rnacentral:lncRNA from 10 species
CCAGCCUGGCCAACAUGGUGCAACCCCAUCUCUACUAAAAAUACAAACAAAAAUAGCCGGGCGUGGUGGCGGGCACCUGUAAUCCCAGCUACUUGGGAAGCUGAGGCAGGAGAAUCACUUGAACCCGGGAGGCGGAGGUUGCAGUGAGCCGAGAUUGCGCCACUGCACUCCAGCCUGGGCCACAGAGCGAAGCUCCAUCUCAAAUAAUAAUAAUAAUAAUAAUAAUAAUAAUAAUAAUAAUAAUAAUAAUAUUUUCUCCAAUUAGCCAUAAGAAGUUACUUUGAGAAGAAUGUGUUAUUUUGGUCUUUUCACUGAGCUUAUUCUCACAAAUACUCUGAUUUCAUCUAAGUUUAUUCCAACUCACAGUAAAAAGUUACUUUGGGACCAGGCGCAGUGCCUCACGCCUGUAAUCCCAGCACUUUGGGAGAACAAGGUGGGCAGAUCACCUGUGGUCAGGCGUUCAAGACCAGCCUGGCUAACAUGGUGAAACCUGUCUCCACUAAAAAUACAAAAAAAAAUUAGCCGGGUGUGGUGACACAUGGCUACUUGGGAGGCUGAGGCUGA